rnacentral:lncRNA from 1 species
UCAAGGGGCAGUCGGCACUCCUGCCACCAAGUUCCCGAUUCCCAUGUAUCCAAUCCAGGUACAUCGAACGGAAAGCUUUUCUGGAGCGCGUGGACCACAGGCAGUUUGAAAUUGAGCGAGAUCUCAGGCUGAGCAAAAUGAAACCUUGAUGUUCUGGGGAGAAUUCGUAGCAGCUUAAUUCUGUUGACAAUGUGAGCUCUUCUCUGUGUCUGUGAAAUCUCCAGUGGUCUCCGUCAUGUUUCCAGCAAGUCCCUUUUUCUACGUUGCAGUUUGGUUAAUGUAUCUUAAUCUCACCUGGUUUCAUUUUACUUUUUAAAAUUUGUUUUUAAAUAAACAAAUAGAAGCCCUCUGUGAGGUUGGUGAAAGG